AACGCGAAGAACCUUACCUACCCUUGACAUAUUAGUGAACUAUGCUGAGAAGUAUAGGAAUCCGAAAGGAACACUAUUACAGGUGCUGCAUGGCUGUCGUCAGCUCGUGUCGUGAGAUGUUGGGUUAAGUCCCGUAACGAGCGCAACCCUUGCUCCUAGUUACCAGCACGUAAAGGUGGGGACUUUAGGAGGACUGCCGGUGUUGAACCGGAGGAAGGCGGGGACGACGUCAAGUCAUCAUGGCCCUUACGGGUAGGGCUACACACGUGCUACAAUGGCCAGUACAGAGGGCCGCGAAGGGGUGACCUGGAGCCAAUCUCAGAAAGCUGGUCGUAGUCCGGAUUGGAGUCUGCAACUCGACUCCAUGAAGUUGGAAUCGCUAGUAAUCGCAAAUCAGCAUGUUGCGGUGAAUACGUUCCCGGGCCUUGUACACACCGGAGUA
rnacentral:rRNA from 1 species